CCUACGGGAGGCAGCAGUGGGGGAUAUUGCACAAUGGGGGAAACCCUGAUGCAGCGACGCCGCGUGUGGGAAGACGGUCCUCUGAAUUGUAAACCACUGUCCCCAGGGACGAAAAUGACGGUACCUGGGGAGGAAGCUCCGGCUAACUACGUGCCAGCAGCCGCGGUAAUACGUAGGGAGCAAGCGUUGUCCGGAAUUACUGUGUUAAAAGGGAGCGUAGGCGGGAUGGAAAGUUGGGUGUUAAAUCGACAGGAUCAACUGGUAGUCGUACUCAAAACUGCUAUUCUUGAGUGAAGUAGAGGCAGGCGGAAUUCCUAGUGUAGCGGUGAAAUGCGUAGAUAUUAGGAGGAACACCAGUGGCGAAGGCGGCCUGCUGGGCUUUUACUGACGCUGAGGCUCGAAAGUGUGGGGAGCAAACAGGAUUAGAUACCCGUGUAGUC
rnacentral:rRNA from 1 species